GUAAACACCUGAGCUCUCCUUCCCUUCUCUCCUGUUCUCUCCUGCUUUCUUUCCUCUUUACUCUUCACAUGCGUAGGGACCUGUAAGAACCAUCAAUCAAUUCUAUGUGAAUGAAAUACAUAAUCUUGUCGAAGAAGACGAAUCAUCCUUAUGAAUUUGAUUGUAAUCAACCCCUCCUUCGUUCUUCCUAACCUCCCUACAUUUGGAAACGCAAUCCAAAUUUUAGCAUCUCAUCCAACGCUGAGAUCAAUUUAAUAGAGAUAAGUGUUGAACAACUGUCGCCUUCGCAGCCUCCCUGGUGAGCGGCCCAACUGUAAGGUGUACGGUGUCAAUCCUGUCAGACUAAGAAAAGAGAUAUCAACAUUAUUAUUGUAUUUUUUUGUCUAAAACAG